rnacentral:rRNA from 1 species
CAGCAGCCGCGGUAAUACGUAGGUGGCGAGCGUUGUCCGGAAUCAUUGGGCGUAAAGGGAGCACAGGCGGGCAUGUAAGUCUUUCUUAAAAGUUCGGGGCUCAACCCCGUGAUGGGAAAGAAACUACAUGUCUUGAGUACAGGAGAGGAAAGCGGAAUUCCCAGUGUAGCGGUGAAAUGCGUAGACAUUGGGAGGAACACCAGUGGCGAAGGCGGCUUUCUGGACUGCAACUGACGCUGAGGCUCGAAAGCCAGGGGAGCGAACGGGAUUAGAGACCCGCGUAGUCCCUGUCUCUUAUACC